rnacentral:lncRNA from 1 species
GUGAAAGUAGAAAUAUAUAAUAAUGAGGUGGAUGAUGGUUUCUUGAAUAGCUGUAAAAUUGAAAUUCUGGAGGAACCCAAGGAAGAAAGCAUACAUGACACAUUUGUUUAUUCAGACUUGCAGGAAUUCCCUACAAAAAUUGAAGUAGAUCCAGAUGAAAACAAACUUAGACCAGUUGAAGAAAUAGAUGAAAAAGGUGUGUCUCUCACCCACAAUUUGGCUCUAGAGGUGUUAAAUGAUGGUAACUAGUCCGAAAUAGAAGAUUUAGAUGGCGAAAAUGAUGUUACUUUUGAUGUUCAAAUGUUUAAAAAUAACACCGAUGACAAGAAUAUUGAAGAAACUGUAUUAGAUGAAGAACCUGUUCCUUCAACGAGCUCUUCUUCAGCAAAGAGGCUAUGGAAAGACAUGACAUUUCAGCAAUAAAUUUUUGUUCUUUUUUAGUUAGUAUGUAAUAACAUAUUGAACAAUUAUAAAAAUAAUUUUUAGUUGGCCCUAAUGGUGUUUUACGUUUAAUAAAAAUGAAUUUUUUCAUACACUUACGAUCCUGCAUUCAUAGAACAUAAGCCUAGAGCGCACGAAUGUGACAUGUCAUUUGUGACAGAUUCAAACAAUGAAUUUUUUUUCUGCAUUUUUAUACCUUUUUUAGAUACCGUAUAUCGUAUUUAUUCAAAGGGAAACUUCAUUUUCACU